GGAAGGUUCGCCUAGAGGCCUAUGGCGCCUGCUUGGAAAGCAGGUGAGUGCAAGCUCACGAGGGUUCGAAUCCCUCACCUUCCG
rnacentral:tRNA from 1 species